rnacentral:rRNA from 1 species
UAGAGGUUUGAUCCUGGCUCAGGAUGAACGACUGACAGAAUGCUUAACACAUAGCAAGUCAACUUGAAUUGGGUUUUUAACUUUAGAUUUGGUGGCGGACGGGUGAGUAACGCGUAAAGAACUUGCCUCACAGCUAGGGACAACAUUUAGAAAUGAAUGCUAUACCUGAUAUUAUGAUUUUAAGGCAUCUUAGAAUUAUGAAAGCUAUAAGCACUGUGAGAGAGCUUUGCGUCCCAUUAGCUAGUUGGAGAGGUAACAGCUCACCAAGGCGAUGAUGGGUAGCCGGCCUGAGAGGGUGAACGGCCACAAGGGGACUGAGACACGGCCCUUACUCCUACGGGAGGCAGCAGUGGGGAAUAUUGGACAAUGGACCGAGAGUCUGAUCCAGCAAUUCUGUGUGCACGAUGAAGUUUUUCGGAAUGUAAAGUGCUUUCAGUUGGGAAGAAAAAAAUGACGGUACCAACAGAAGAAGUGACGGCUAAAUACGUG